GCCAUGGCCGCGGGAUUCGGGAGGCAGCAGUAAGGGAUAUUCCACAAUGGGCGAGACUGAAUGGAGCGACGCCGCGUGGACGACGAAGGCCUUCGGGUUGUAAAGUCCUUUUCUGGGGGACGAGAUCAGGACGGUACCUCAGGAAUAAGUCUCGGCUAACUACGUGCCAGCAGCCGCGGUAAUACGUAGGAGACCAACGUUAUCCGGAUUCACUGGGCGUAAAGCGCGCGCAGGUGGUACUGUAAGUUGGGCGUGAAAUACCCCGGCUCAACUGGGGUGGGCCGCUCAAUACUGCAGUGCUCGAGGGCAGGAGAGGGAAGCGGAAUUCCCGGUGGAGUAGUGAAAUGCGUAGAUAUCGGGAGGAACACCAGUGGCGAAGGCGGCUUCCUAGACUGUUCCUGACACUGAGGCGCGAAAGCCAGGGGAGCGAACCGAAUUAGAUACUCGGGUAGUCCUGGCCCUAAACGGUGCGGACUAGGUGUUGGGGGUAUCGACCCCCCCARUGCCGUAGCUAACGCGAUAAGUCCGCCGCCUGAGAACUACGGCCGCAAGGUAAAACUCAAAUGAAUUGACGG
rnacentral:rRNA from 1 species